rnacentral:snoRNA from 1 species
UUCUAUGAUGAUUGUUCAGCUGGCACCAGUCAUAGGGUGACUUGUACUCCCUCCCUUGAUGACAAACGCUGCGGUCUACCAGGACCAUCUCUGAUC